GGAGGAAAGUAGGGGAUCGCAAGACCUUGCGCUUUUGGAGUGGCCGAUGCCUGAUUAGCUAGUUGGUGGGGUAAUGGCCUACCAAGGCGACGAUCAGUAGUUGGUCUGAGAGGACGACCAGCCACACUGGGACUGAGACACGGCCCAGACUCCUACGGGAGGCAGCAGUGGGGAAUUUUGGACAAUGGGCGAAAGCCUGAUCCAGCAAUGCCGCGUGAGUGAAGAAGGCCUUCGGGUUGUAAAGCUCUUUCAGUCGAGAAGAAAAGGUUGUGACUAAUAAUCACAACUCAUGACGGUAUCGACAGAAGAAGCACCGGCUAACUACGUGCCAGCAGCCGCGGUAAUACGUAGGGUGCGAGCGUUAAUCGGAAUUACUGGGCGUAAAGGGUGCGCAGGCGGCUUUGUAAGUCAGAUGUGAAAUCCCCGGGCUUAACCUGGGAAU
rnacentral:rRNA from 1 species